rnacentral:rRNA from 1 species
UACGUAGGGUGCGAGCGUUGUCCGGAAUUAUUGGGCGUAAAAGAGCUUGUAGGCGGUCUGUCGCGUCUGCUGUGAAAAUCCGGGGCUCAACCCCGGACUUGCAGUGGGUACGGGCAGACUGGAGUGUGGUAGGGGAGACUGGAAUUCCUGGUGUAGCGGUGGAAUGCGCAGAUAUCAGGAAGAACACCAAUGCGAAAGCAGCUCUCUGGGACGGUACUGACGCUGAGACGCGAAAGCGUGGUAGCAAACAGG